GAAUAAAGGGGGGGCCCCCCCCGCUGGGGGGGGCGUACAGUAAAGUCGUUUAAGUUAAAAACUUGGGACUAUAAUCCCCGCGGGACCGAACGAGAUGAAUUUGUUUGGUGGUGGGGUCGGAGUUAUAUAGACAACGUGGGGCAAUCCUUUUCCAAGCAUUAAUUUAUGGGGGAGGACAACCGUGCGUUUGUUUAUCAUAUAAAAAUCCCCGCGUCUUUACUGCCGGCAUUAGCAAGAAAACCUUCCGCAAGGAAUUAUUAGAUAGGGCUUUGGUACUAUUUUCGUGGUUUGCACCCCAAAUUAAUGAUCAACAGGAACCGUUUGACGGAUAUUCGUAUGAACAUGUCAGGGGGGAAAUUCCCGGAUUUUGAUCAGACGAACUUCUGGGAAAGCAUUUAUCAAGGAUGUUUUCAUUAAUCAAGAACGAAAGUUAGGGGAUUGAAGAUGAUUAGAAACCAUCGGAGUCUUAACCCUAAACUAUGCCGACUAGGGAUUGGCGGACGUGGGGAAAAUGAAUUCCCCAGCACCUCAUGAGAAAUCAAAGUCGUUGGGUUCCCGGGG
rnacentral:rRNA from 1 species